CACACACAAAAAGAUAACUAUGUGAGGUGAUGGAUGCGUUAAUUAGUUCCAUUGCUAUAAUAAUUUAAGUGUUUACAUAUAUAAGGUCAUCACAUCUUACACCUUUAAUAUAUACAAUUUCUAUUCAUCAAUUGUACCUCAAUGAAGAUAGAAAAGAAAACACACGAUUUCUGAAUUGUCUUCAGAGACAUUUGCAAAACAAAUAGCAUUCAGGGCAUAGGAGCAAGUUCUUGUUAGAGCAAUUGUAAUCCCUUGGGCAUGGGCUUUUUUGGAUGACUGAGUCAUGAACUUGGCCAAGCCCUCACACAGAGUUCAAAACAACUGUUCUUUGAAGUGGUGGAUUUUCAAGAACAUUUCUUCCUUCAUUUAUAGGCUUUCAGAGAUAAAAAUCUGUUGGAUGACGUGCAGCUUACCCUUUCAAAGUUCCUUAAGGACCCUGGGGAAUGCAGCCAUCUGGAAUUUGCUGUCAUGCUGUGAUUUCUGCAGUAGCUUUUGUCAGGCCUCUGAGCCCAAGCUAAGCCAUCAUAUCCCCUGUGACCUGCACGUACACAUCCAAAUGGCCGGUUCCUGCCUUAACUGAUGACAUUCCACCACAAAAGAAGAGAAAAUGGCCUGUUCCUGCCUUAACUGAUGACAUUGUCUUGUGAAAUUCCUUCUCCUGGCUCAUCCUGGCUCAAAAGCUCCCCUACUGAGCACCUUGUGACCCCCACUCUGCUUGCCAGAGAACAACCCCCCUUUGACUGUAAUUUUCCUUUACCUACCCAAAUCCUAUAAAACGGCCCCAACCCAUCUCCCUUCGCUGACUCUCUUUUCAGACUCAGCCUGCCUGCACCCAGGUGAAAUAAACAGCCAUGGUGCUCACACAAAGUCUGUUUGGUGGUCUCUUCCCACAGAUGCUCAUGAAAUUUGGUGCCAUGACUCAGAUCGGGGGACCUCCCUUGGAAGAUCAAUCCCCUGUCCUCCUGCUCUUUGCUCCAUGAGAAAGGUCCGCCUACGACCUCAGGUCCUCAGACCACCCAGCCCAAGAAACAUCUCACCAUUUUCAAAUCCAGUAAGCAGCCUCUUUUUAUUCUCUUCUCCAACCUCCCUCACUAUCCC
rnacentral:lncRNA from 10 species